rnacentral:rRNA from 1 species
UACGAAGGGGGCUAGCGUUGUUCGGAAUUACUGGGCGUAAAGCGCACGUAGGCGGGUUGUUAAGUCAGGGGUGAAAUCCUGGAGCUCAACUCCAGAACUGCCUUUGAUACUGGCGACCUUGAGUCCGGGAGAGGUGAGUGGAACUGCGAGUGUAGAGGUGAAAUUCGUAGAUAUUCGCAAGAACACCAGUGGCGAAGGCGGCUCACUGGCCCGGUUCUGACGCUGAGGCGCGAAAGCGUGGGGAGCAAACAGG